rnacentral:tRNA from 1 species
GGGGGUAUAGCUCAGUUGGGAGAGCGCUUGAAUGGCAUUCAAGAGGUCAUGAGUUCGAAUCUCACUAUCUCCA